rnacentral:lncRNA from 10 species
AUGCGCAUGUGGCUCCUGGGACUGGCUGGAGCGGGAGUUGAGCGGGAAGUCGGGGUGGGGGUAUGUUGGGAGGCGUGGCGGGAUGGGAGCGUUGGGAAAAGGGCAGUGCUGGGGGAUGGGGACGAGGAUGAAGCUUCCUCGACCCAGCUCACCCAUUCUCCUCACAGGGCGUUCUGCAAACUCGGCUGAAGCAAAGGGUUUCAUCAUGUUGUCCAGGCUGGUCUUGAACUCCUGGGCUCAAGCAAUCAGCCCACCUCUGCCUCCCAAAGCGUUGAGAUUACAAGCGUGAGCCACCAUUCCUGGACCCUCGUAGUUUUUCUGGAGCCUCGUGAUUUGAUAUGAUCUUCCUGCCGCUGAUUCCUCACAGUGUUGGCUUGCCACACCUCCAGGGGCACUGAUCACAUUCUACCUGGCAUUAUUUCAUCUGAGUCCCUGUCCUAGCCCUUCUGCCCAUUAGACUGUAACCUUGUUUAGGGAAAGACCUGUGUCUUACUCAUCUGUGAUUUUGUUGUUGUUGUUGUUUUGAGACAGGGUCUUGCCCUGUUGCCCAGGCUGGAGAGCAGUGGUGCAAUCUUGGCUCACUGCAGCCUCAACCUGUUGGGGUCAAGCCAUCCUCCCACCUCAGCUUUCCAAGUAGCUGAGACUACAGGCCUGUGCCACCACACCCAGCUAGUUUUUUGUAUUUUUAGUAGAGAUGGGGUUUUGCCAUGUUGCCCAGGCUUCUCUUGAACUCCUGAGCUCAAGGGAUCUGCCUGCCUCGGCCUCCCAAAGUGCUGGGAUUACAGGCGUGAGCCACUGUGCCUGACCCACUCACCUGUCAUUGUAGUACUUAAGAUGCCUUGUUCAUUUAUUGUGCCUGUGCAAUAAAUACACCUUGAUUUGAGUUUACAAAGAUUCUCAGCAGUUGGUGGUCAUCCUCAUCUCCUGGGCGGGGGCCUCCUGGUGUGGCCAGUAUCUGAAUUAGUCUCAUAACUCAUGUUCACUUUUUAAAAUCGGAGCUUCCCAGACCUCAGUUUUGUUUUGUUAUUUUCCAUUAUCUGCAGCUGUCUCCUUUCCCCUCUCUCACCUAUACUCUACUGAUCAGUGACUGCUGGCUCCUUUGUUACCCAUCCUUCUCUUUCUCCACAUUUUUUCUCUUCUCAUCCCUUUCAGUUCUGGACUGUUUCCUUCUUCCUCCCUGUCUUUCAUUUAGUCAUUCAUUGAAUGUACUUACUAAGCACAUAUAGCAUAAUCAGGCUGUGUUGGGUAGGCAUCCCGAGUUCUAUGAGAUAAAGAAAGAAUGGGAUAUGAUUACCAAUUUUAAGAAGCAUCUAAAACAACCUGUUAUGUUUUAGCAAAUUGCCCCCAAAGGACCCAUUAGGGAGGAAAACGUUCAUGUCCUUUUUGCGUAUCAUCUCAAGCAGUACCCAUGAUGGCUGGGAUCCCAGAACCCACCUUUGAGAAUGCUGCCGUAUUUGCGUGUGGUUGACAAGGUUGGGCCAGACACUCAGGAAAUAGGGUUGUCGUCCUACCUCCCCCACUAACUUCCUGUAAGAACUUCAGCCCCUCUCAGGACCUUUUUCUUUACCAAUAAAAUUCAGAAAUUGGGCUCAAUCAGUAAUUCCCAAGUUAUUUUCCAAAGAACAUGAAUUUUGUGGAACUUUAAUAGAUAUCAUGCAAAAAAAAAUGUGGGAGGGAUUGUUCCAUGGUCAAAUGGUCUUGGAAAUAACUCGUUUAAACAAAAAUAAAACUGUUUCUUUACCCACAACUCUUCUCAGUGGUUUUUUGUUUGUUUGUUUGUUUUUUGAGAUGAAGUUUUGCUCUUGUCGCCCAGUUUGGAGUGUAAUGGCACUAUUUUGACUCACUGCAACCUGUGCCUCCUGGAUUCAAGUGAUUCUCCUGCCUCAGCCUCC